UACGAAGGGGGGCUAGCGUUGCUCGGAAUUACUGGGCGUAAAGCGCACGUAGGCGGCUCUUUAAGUCGGGGGUGAAAUCCUGGAGCUCAACUCCAGAACUGCCUUCGAUACUGUAGAGCUUGAGUUCGGGAGAGGUGAGUGGAACUGCGAGUGUAGAGGUGAAAUUCGUAGAUAUUCGCAAGAACACCAGUGGCGAAGGCGGCUCACUGGCCCGAUACUGACGCUGAGGCACGAAAGCGUGGGGAGCAAACAGGG
rnacentral:rRNA from 1 species